AGAUCGUGUGGUGAGAUGUUGGGUUAAGUCCCGCAAUGAGCGCAACCCUAAUCUUUAGUUGCCAUCAGUUAGGCUGGGCACUCUAGAGAAACUGCUUGGGAUGAGCAGGAGGAAGGCGGGGACGACGUCAAGUCAUCAUGGCCGUUAUGGACUGGGCUACACACGUGCUACAAUGGCGGUGACAAUGGGCAGCAACAGAGCGAUCUGAAGCAAAUCUCAAAAAACCGUCCCAGUUCGGAUUGUACUCUGCAACUCGAGUGCAUGAAGUUGGAAUCGCUAGUAAUCGCGGAUCAGCAUGCCGCGGUGAAUACGUUCCCGGGCCUUGUACACACCGCCCGUCACACCAUGGGAGUUGGUUCUACCCGAAGCCGGUGCGCUAACCGCAAGGAAGCAGCCGACCACGGUAGGGUUAGCGACUGGGGUGAAGUCGUAACAAGGUAACC
rnacentral:rRNA from 1 species